CCUACGGGUGGCAGCAGUGAGGAAUAUUGGUCAAUGGACGAAAGUCUGAACCAGCCAUGCCGCGUGCAGGAAGACGGCUCUAUGAGUUGUAAACUGCUUUUGUACAAGGGUAAACCUGAAUACGUAUUCUCCGCUGCAUUUACUGUACGAGUAAGGAUCGGCUAACUCCGUGCCAGCAGCCGCGGUAAUACGGAGGGUCCAAGCGUUAUCCGGAUUUAUUGGGUUUAAAGGGUGCGUAGGCGGGUUGGUAAGUCAGAGGUGAAAUGUCCGGGCUCAACUCGGGAACUGCCGCUAAUACUGGCGAGCGAGAGAGUAGAUGCGGUAGGCGGAAUGUAUGGUGUAGCGGUGAAAUGCUUAGAGAUCAUACAGAACACCGAUUGCGAAGGCAGCUUACCAAUCUAUAUCUGACGUUGAGGCACGAAAGCGUGGGGAGCAAACAGGAUUAGAUACCCUUGUAGUC
rnacentral:rRNA from 1 species